GGGAGGAGGGUGGGGAAAACGGUAAUGGCCGCAAGCCUGAUCCAGCCAUGCCGCGUGAGUGAAGAAGGCCUUCGGGUUGUAAAGCUCUUUCGGCCGGGAAGAAAUCGCAUUGGUUAAUACCUGGUGUGGAUGACGGUACCGGAAUAAAGAAAGCACCGGCUAACUACGUCCGCCCAGCAGCCGGGGUAAUACCCGGUAGGGUGCGAGGGCGUUAAUCGGAAUUACUGGGGCGUAAAGCGUGGCGCAGGCGGUUUUGUAAGACAGGCGUGAAAUCCCCGGGCUCAACCUGGGAACUGGCGCUUGUGACUGCCAGGCUAGAGUACGGCAGAGGGGGGUGGAAUUCCCCGGUGUAGCAGUGAAAUGCGUAAGGAGAUGGUGGAGGAACCCCCAAUGGCGAAGGCAGCCCCCUGGGUCGAUACUGACGCUCAUGCACGAAAGCGUGGGUAGCAAACAGGAUUAGAUACCCUUGGUAGUCCCCGCCCUAAACGAUGUCAACUAGGUGUUGGAAGGGGUUAAACCUUUUAGUGCCGUAGCUAACGCGUGAAGUUGACCGCCUGGGGAGUACGGCCCGCAAGGCUAAAACUCAAAGGAAUUGACGGGGACCCGCACAAGCGGUGGAUGAUGUGGAUUAAUUCCAUGCAACGCCGAAAAAACCUUACCUACCCUUGACAUGUCAGGAAUCCCGGAAAGAUUUGGGGAGUGCUCGAAAGAAAAGCCCGAACACAGGUGCUGCAUGGCUGUCGGUCAGCUCGUGUCGUGAGAUGUUGGUUAAGUCCCGCAACCGAGCGCAACCCUUGUCAUUAAUUGCCAUCAUUCAGUUGGGCACUUUAAAGAGACUGGCCGGUGACAAACCGGAGGAAGGUGGGGAUGACGUCAAGUCCUCAUGGCUCUUAUGGGUAGGCUUCACACGUCAUACAAUGGUCGGUCCAGAGGGUUCCAACCCGCGAGGGGGACUAAUCUCAGAAAGCCGAUCGUAGUCCGGAUUGGAGUCUGCAACUCGACUCCCAUGAAGUCGGAAUCGCUAGUAAUCGCG
rnacentral:rRNA from 1 species